rnacentral:rRNA from 1 species
GCAGUCGCCGCGGGAAUACGUAGGUGGCUAGCGUUGUCCGGAAUUAUUGGGCGUAAAGGGCUCGCAGGCGGUUUCUUAAGUCUGAUGUGAAAGCCCCCGGCUCAACCGGGGAGGGUCAUUGGAAACUGGGAAACUUGAGUGCAGAAGAGGAGAGUGGAAUUCCACGUGUAGCGGUGAAAUGCGUAGAGAUGUGGAGGAACACCAGUGGCGAAGGCGACUCUCUGGUCUGUAACUGACGCCGAGGAGCGAAAGCGUGGGGAGCGAACAGGAUUAGAUACCCGCGUAGUCCCUGUCUCUUAUAC